rnacentral:rRNA from 1 species
GUCUACGGCCACACCACCUUGAACGCGCCCGAUCUCGUCUGAUCUCGGAAGCUAAGCAGGGUCGGGCCUGGUUAGUACUUGGAUGGGAGAUU